CUCGGCUGAUGCGUGUGGAACUAUGGGGGCACUUGUGGACCCCACUGCAGGCACAUCAUGUUGUCCCCUUGAUCCACAGCUCAGUGGAGUGAGCACCGGACUUGGCCUCGGUAGCACUUCAGUGUCCAGUGAAUG